rnacentral:misc_RNA from 1 species
ACAUUCUAUGGCUAGUAGCUAAAUAGUUUUCCUUCAAAACGAAAAAAAAUCUCUCUGAUGCUUUAGAGAGAGGGAUAGAGAGAGAGAAAAUCUCCGAGAAAUGCGGUCCAUACCUUUGGGAAUUGCAGUGUCCCCUACCUCCAUAAACAACAAACUUAAUUUUAAUUUCAAGAAACAGCAAAAGCAGCAGCAGCAACAGCAACAGUCCUUCUUUAACUGUUCUUCUUGUAGGGUUUCUCAUGAACCCUCUCUCUCCCCUCUCUCCAAAUCAGGAGUAUGCCGAGCGAGUCAAGUGGUUGAAUUAUUCCCUACUGUGUCUCCCGAGAUUGUUGUGAGGGAGGCAAGGCUAGAGGAUUGUUGGGAAGUGGCAGAGACGCACUGCAGCUCCUUCUUCCCUGACUAUUCUUUCCCCCUAGAUUUUGUGUUGAGGAUUGACAGGCUGGUAGGGAUGUUAUCAGGAUUCUCUAUACCAAAUGGUUGCAAGAGAACUUGUCUGGUUGCUGUCGUUGGUAACUCAGGUGAUGUGUCUUUCUGCUUUGGAAGUGAAGAUUUCAAAAUUGGAGGUUUUGAUGGGAAAUUCAGUCUCAAUAGAGGAUAUGUUACUGGAAUAUUGACUGUGGAUACAGUGGCUGAUUUUCUUCCAAGAAAAGGCCCACUUCGGCAAAGAAGGUGAGUUUAAAAGUUACUACUGGCACAGUCAGGUUUCGAUGACUACCUAAACAUUGUGUUCCAUCAAGCUUUCAGGUGUUUACGAUUUUAUUUGGAUAAAAUUUUUUUGGGUAAUUGGUAAACAAGUGUACUGCUUUCUUCUUGUUGAGUGUGAAUUACAUUGGUUGUUGACUCCUUUAUGAUAAUCCUACUUUAUGAUGCUACCUUUGUUCUUCAAGUGACUUCCAUCUUGUAUCCUUCAUCAUUCUUUUUUACAAAUACAUUAUAUCUAACUUGGAUAGGCUGGAAAAGAGAAGCUCUGGCAACAUGCAUUUGACAAAGAUUUGGAGAAGCAUUUUGCCUUAUCUCUUUCUUGUUCCCCUUCCUCUUUCAUUCUUCUCUUUCUUCACUUAGUUGUAUCAUGUGUACAAGUCAUUGCUCAUCUUCCCUCCCUUGAUAUGAAGAACCCUCUGCUAUACAAUGCUAUUAAUAAUGGUUAUAUAGCUGAAGUAAAUAUCAGAUAAUUGAUUUUUCUAGUUUUGUUCUUUGUAUGAAUUGCUGGUAUUAGCUAUUUGAUUGAGACAUUAGCUUACUUGGAGCCUGAUAUUGUACCUUGCUUGUUUACUGAGGAGAUUUUGAUGAAAUAAUUCAUGAAUUUUCAUUAUGUUUUUCUGGUUCUGCAAUUCCAAUGUCCAAUAAAAUGUCUGAGAAUGGUAAGAAAUACAACUUGUAGUGAUGGCAUUCAUGCAAGUAUCAUAUUUGUAAAUUUUGAGUUUUGGCAUUUGGUAUCCUGCCCCUUCUUUGACAUUCAUUCCUGGUCUAUGUAUUGAAUCUCCCCCGAAAAAGGAGACUCGUAUAGAUUCUGAACUUGAGAAGCUGGUUCUUGAUUUAAGUUAUAGAUUAUUGAAUGACAUCUCCCUAAAGGUACAAUAUAAUGUUUAAGCUUAUUAGAAACAUUGUAGUUUGUUAGAAGUGUUGAUGUUGAUGUUGUUUCAAAGAAACUUUGAGUCCAUGUCCUCCUUAAGUCUCAGUUAUGUUUCUUUUUCUUAUUAAACAAUAUGAUUUGAAUUCCAAAUGGCCUGCUUCAGUGUGAAUAGAAUUGUAUUUCAAGUAAAUUUGUUCUGACUAAUUUGGCCUUUUCCAUUCCUGCAUAAACAUAUUGCUGAUGAUAUCUGAUCUUGGAUUCAUUGAGUAGUACUUGAUUUUGUUAGGAAUUCUUAACUUUUAUUACUAUGUGCAUAUAACCCUGUUGUUAAUGUAUGACCAUGCAUCUACUGUUAUAUGGGUGAUCUUUCUGACUUAAUGGAGUUGAUUUUGGAUAGUUGGUUUCCCCUUCUAGAAACUUUCAAGAAAACUUGAAGUUGCUUUUCAGCAUCCUGGAUGUAUUAUACUACUGCAUUCGAUAGAAAAUAAGGAAAAUUAUUGGAACUCCCUGGAGUGAAAAAUGUGAUUUGGUUCUCUGAUUUCUCUGCAAAGCCAUUAGUUUAGAACUUGAUCCUAUUGCCUAAGCUGACAAGUAUCAUUAUGAACCCAAAAUUGGAAUUUAUGAACUUACUGCUGCACUGACCUGAGAUUGAUGUGCAGAGAAAGAAAGGUAGAAUUAUGAAAACACCCUUGAAUGAAAUUUACAGUUUAGUUCUCUGAUUUAUUUGCAUACCCUUAGUUUAGAACUCUUAUGGCCUAAUCUGAAAAAUAUCAUCAUGGACCCGAAGUUGGAUAUCUAUGAACUUGAAGUGAGAUUAAUGUGCAGAGGGAGAGAGUACAAAAUGAGUCCAAACUUUGUUUUGUUAUGGUGUGCUAAUUGGUGUACAUGGCUCUUAUUCUUUCAAUCUGGA